rnacentral:rRNA from 1 species
AUUGAACGCUGGCGGAAUGCUUUACACAUGCAAGUCGAGCGGCAGCACGGGGGCAACCCUGGUGGCGAGCGGCGUACGGGUGAGUAAUACAUCGGAACAUGCCCAGUCGUGGGGGAUAACACUUCGAAAGAAGUGCUAAUACCGCAUACGUCCUGAGGGAGAAAGCGGGGGAUCUUCGGACCUCGCGCGAUUGGAGUGGCCGAUGUCAGAUUAGCUAGUUGGUGGGGUAAAGGCCUACCAAGGCCAGGAUCUGUAGCUGGUCUGAUAGGAUGAUCAGCCACACUGGGACUCAGGAACGGCCCAGACUCCUACGGGAGGCAGCAGUGGGGAAUUUUGGACAAUGGGGGCAACCCUGAUCCAGCCAUUCCGCGUGAGUGAAGAAGGCCUUCGGGUUGUAAAGCUCUUUCGGCAGGAACGAAACGGCGAGCUCUAACAUAGCUUGCUAAUGACGGUACCUGAAGAAGAAGCACCGGCUAACUACGUGCCAGCCGCCGCCGUAACAC